AACGAACGCUGGCGGCAGGCUUAACACAUGCAAGUCGAACGCAUCCUUCGGGGUGAGUGGCAGACGGGUGAGUAACGCGUGGGAAUCUACCCAGUCCUUCGGAAUAGCUCCUGGAAACGGGAAUUAAUACCGGAUACGCCCUUUUGGGGAAAGAUUUAUCGGGAUUGGAUGAGCCCGCGUAAGAUUAGCUAGUUGGUGGGGUAAUGGCCUACCAAGGCGACGAUCUUUAGCUGGUCUGAGAGGAUGAUCAGCCACACUGGGACUGAGACACGGCCCAGACUCCUACGGGAGGCAGCAGUGGGGAAUCUUAGACAAUGGGGGCAACCCUGAUCUAGCCAUGCCGCGUGAGUGAUGAAGGCCUUAGGGUUGUAAAGCUCUUUCAGCUGGGAAGAUAAUGACGGUACCAGCAGAAGAAGCCCCGGCUAACUCCGUGCCAGCAGCCGCGGUAAAAC
rnacentral:rRNA from 1 species